rnacentral:rRNA from 1 species
GAUGAACGCUGGCGGCGUGCCUAAUACAUGCAAGUCGAGCGAACAGACGAGGAGCUUGCUCCUCUGACGUUAGCGGCGGACGGGUGAGUAACACGUGGAUAACCUACCUAUAAGACUGGGAUAACUUCGGGAAACCGGAGCUAAUACCGGAUAAUAUAUUGAACCGCAUGGUUCAAUAGUGAAAGACGGUUUUGCUGUCACUUAUAGAUGGAUCCGCGCCGCAUUAGCUAGUUGGUAAGGUAACGGCUUACCAAGGCAACGAUGCGUAGCCGACCUGAGAGGGUGAUCGGCCAAACUGGAACUGAGACCGGGUCCAGACCCCAACGGGAGGCAGCAGGGGGGAAUCUGCCGCAAUGGGCGAAGGCCUGACGGAGCAACGCCGCGUGAGUAAUGAAGGUCUUCGGAUCGUAAAACUUUGUUAUUGGGAAAGAACAAAGGUGUAAGUAACUAUGCACGUCUGGAGGGUACCAAAUCAGAAGGCCACGGCAAACUACGU